CGAGAGGCCCAAACGUUAUUCGGAUUUACUGGGCUUAAAGAGUUCGUAGGCGGCGCAGAAAGUAGGGUGUGAAAGCCCUCGGCUCAACCGAGGAAUUGCGCUCUAAACUACUGUGCUUGAGGAAGCUAGAGGUGAGCAGAACAGAUGGUGGAGCGGUGAAAUGCGUUGAUAUUAUCUGGAAUACCGGAGGCGAAGGCGGCUCACUGGGGCCUUUCUGACGCUGAGGAACGAAAGCCAGGGUAGCGAACGGGAUUAGAUACCCCGGUAGUCCUGGCCGUAAACGAUGAGCACUAGGCCGGAGGGCUGCACAGCUUUCCGGCCGUAGCUAAAGUGUUAAGUGCUCCGCCUGGGGAGUAUGGUCGCAAGGCUG
rnacentral:rRNA from 1 species